rnacentral:rRNA from 1 species
AUGCCAUUGCCAUUACCAUCGCACAGCCACGGCCGCCCUGCUGCAUCCAUGGCCGCCGCAGCUCGCCGCCCUCUGCUUCUCCCUAUCUCGUGGGUUCUAGUGCUGCUGCUGGCCGUCCACGCGACGUCGCAGCUCGCCGUAGCGCUUGACCAGGACGGCGUGCUGCUCCUCUCCUUCAAGUCCUCCCUCCUCGCCGACCCCCUCGGUUCCCUCUCCGGCUGGGGCUACGCCGACCCCACGCCCUGCGCCUGGAACGGCGUCGUCUGCAUGGCCUUCCCCGCCACGUCUUCGUCGGACCAGAUGAGGGUCGUCAGCGUCAUCCUGCCCAAUGAGCAGCUCGUCGGCCCCAUCUCGCCGGAGCUGGGCCGGAUCGAGCACCUCCGCCACCUCGAUCUCUCCGGGAACGCGCUCAACGGCACCCUCCCCGUCGACCUGUUCCGCGCGCCGGAGCUCCGCAUCCUCUCGCUCGCCAGCAACGGCAUCACGGGGGGGCUGCCGGAGCAGGUCGGCCAGCUGCGCAGCCUCCGCGCCCUCAACCUCGCCGGCAACGCGCUCUCCGGCGCCAUACCGGGGAACCUCACCCUGCUCCAGAACCUCACCGCCGUCUCCCUCUCCAGCAACUACUUCUCCGGCGCGCUCCCCGGCGGCGGGUUCCCGGCGCUGCAGGUGCUCGACGUCAGCUCCAACAUGCUCAACGGCACGCUCCCGGCGGACUUCGGAGGCGCCGCGCUGCGGUAUGUUAACCUCUCCUCCAACCAGCUCGCCGGGGCCAUACCGCUGGAAAUGGCGUCGCACCUGCCGGCCAACGUCACCAUCGACCUGUCCUUCAACAAACUCACCGGCGCGAUCCCGACGGUGGCGCCGUUCGUGGCGCAGAGGGCGACGGCGUUCGCGGGCAACGACGAGCUGUGCGGGAGGCCGCUCGACAGCCUCUGCUCCGAUGCUUCCACCUCCGCCGUGGAUCCCCCGAAGGGGACGGCAAAGUCGCCCCCGGCCCUUGCGGCCAUACCCAACAACCCGACCGAGACGAUGCCCGGCAGUGGAGCGCCGUCAUCAGGAGGAGGACAAGGCAGGCUGAAGCUGGCCACCAUCAUAGCCAUUGCCGCCGGCGACGUGGCCGGCAUCGCUGUCCUGUUCGCGGUGUUCUUCUACGUGUACCAGGUGAGGAAACGAAAGCAGCGGCAGGAGGUGGCGAAGCAGAGGAUGGGAGCAGCGGUGUUCAAGAAGCCGGAACCGUCGGACGAGUCGCCCGACGUCGCCGGCCGGAGCCUGUCGUGCUGUCCCGGGAAGAAGGCAGGCGACGACAGCGACGACACGGAGGAGGAUGUGACGGACACGUCUUCCUCCUUCGUUGCCAAGGAGGAGAACCACAAGGCAGGCGAGGGAGCGGUGGCAGCCAAGAAGAAAGAGAGGUCGGUGCUGGUGACGGUGGACGGCGAGGUGGAGCUGGAGCUGGAGACGCUGCUCAAGGCGUCGGCCUACAUCCUGGGCGCGGCGGGCGACAGCAUCGUGUACAAGGCGGUGCUGGCCGACGGCGCGGCGCUGGCCGUGCGCAGGAUCGGCAGCGAGGACGCUGGCGUGAGGCGGUUCAGCGAGUUCGACGCGCAGAUGCGCGCCAUCGCCAAGCUCCGUCACGGCAACAUCCUGCGCCUCCGCGGCUUCUACUGGGGCCCCGACGAGAUGCUCCUCAUCCACGACCUGGCCGCCAAUGGCAGCCUCGCAAACGCCUCCGUGAAAAGGAAGCCGGGGACGCCGCCGAUGAGCCUCGGGUGGAGCGCGCGGCUGCGCAUCGCGCGAGGCGUGGCGAGCGGCCUGGCCUACCUCCACGACAAGAAGUGCGUGCACGGCAACGUGAGGCCCAGCAACAUCCUCCUGGACGCGGACAUGGAGCCGCUGCUGGCCGACCUGGGCAUCCACCGGCUGGUCCGCGGCGCCGGGGACAGCAGGCUGAAGCCGGCGGGGCGGUUCGGGAGCAAGCGGUCGGCCAAGAGCCUGCCGGACCUGUCGCCGCCGCCACCCGGGACAGCAGGAGGAGGGGCGAGCCCGCUGGCCGGCGCCGGGCCUUCCUCCUCCGCGGAGGCGGCCGCGCACUACCAGGCGCCGGAGGCGGCCAAGAACCCGACGAAGCCGAGCACCAAGUGGGACGUGUACUCGUUCGGCAUGGUACUGCUCGAACUGGUGGCCGGGCGCGCGCUGACGAGCGUGGAGCUCUGCCAGUGGGCGGCGGGGGAGGACAGCGGGCAGCAGGCGUUCCUGCUGGCGGACGCGGCGCUGCGGGGGGAGAUGGAGGGCAGGGAGGAGACGCUGGCGAGCUGCCUGAGGCUGGGGUUCGCGUGCUGCGCCGCGGCGCCCGGCAAGCGGCCCGCCAUGAAGGACGUGCUCCAGGCCAUCGACAGGAUCCCGUCUCCUUCCUCCAACUCCUCCGCCUCCGCGCAGCGACAGUGA